UACGUAGGCAGCGAGCGUUGUUCGGAGUUACUGGGCGUAAAGGGUGUGUAGGCGGUUGUUUAAGUUUGGUGUGAAAUCUCCCGGCUCAACUGGGAGGGUGCGCCGAAUACUGAAUGACUUGGAGUGCGGGAGAGGAAAGUGGAAUUCCUGAUGUAGCGGUGAAAUGCGUAGAUAUCAGGAGGAACACCGGUGGUGUAGACGGCUUUCUGGACCGUAACUGACGCUGAGACACGAAAGCGUGGGUAGCAAACAGG
rnacentral:rRNA from 1 species